rnacentral:sRNA from 1 species
UCUCCGUUGGUGAACCAGCGGAGGGAUCAUUACCGAGUUUACAACUCCCAAACCCCUGUGAACAUACCACUUGUUGCCUCGGCGGAUCAGCCCGCUCCCGGUAAAACGGGACGGCCCGCCAGAGGACCCCUAAACUCUGUUUCUAUAUGUAACUUCUGAGUAAAACCAUAAAUAAAUCAAAACUUUCAACAACGGAUCUCUUGGUUCUGGCAUCGAUGAAGAACGCAGCAAAAUGCGAUAAGUAAUGUGAAUUGCAGAAUUCAGUGAAUCAUCGAAUCUUUGAACGCACAUUGCGCCCGCCAGUAUUCUGGCGGGCAUGCCUGUUCGAGCGUCAUUUCAACCCUCAAGCCCUCGGGUUUGGUGUUGGGGAUCGGCGAGCCCUUGCGGCAAGCCGGCCCCGAAAUCUAGUGGCGGUCUCGCUGCAGCCUCCAUUGCGUAGUAGUAAAACCCUCGCAACUGGAACGCGGCGCGGCCAAGCCGUUAAACCCCCAACUUCUGAAUGUUGACCUCGGAUCAGGUAGGAAUACCCGCUGAACUUAA